rnacentral:rRNA from 2 species
GAACUGAAGAGUUUGAUCAUGGCUCAGAUUGAACGCUGGCGGCAGGCCUAACACAUGCAAGUCGAGCGGUAGAGAGAAGCUUGCUUCUCUUGAGAGCGGCGGACGGGUGAGUAAUGCCUAGGAAUCUGCCUGGUAGUGGGGGAUAACGCUCGGAAACGGACGCUAAUACCGCAUACGUCCUACGGGAGAAAGCAGGGGACCUUCGGGCCUUGCGCUAUCAGAUGAGCCUAGGUCGGAUUAGCUAGUUGGUGAGGUAAUGGCUCACCAAGGCGACGAUCCGUAACUGGUCUGAGAGGAUGAUCAGUCACACUGGAACUGAGACACGGUCCAGACUCCUACGGGAGGCAGCAGUGGGGAAUAUUGGACAAUGGGCGAAAGCCUGAUCCAGCCAUGCCGCGUGUGUGAAGAAGGUCUUCGGAUUGUAAAGCACUUUAAGUUGGGAGGAAGGGCA